rnacentral:rRNA from 1 species
GAUGAACGCUGGCGGCGUGCCUAAUACAUGCAAGUCGAGCGAACGGACGAGAAGCUUGCUUCUCUGAUGUUAGCGGCGGACGGGUGAGUAACACGUGGAUAACCUACCUAUAAGACUGGGAUAACUUCGGGAAACCGUAGCUAAUACCGGAUAAUAUUUUGAACCGCAUGGUUCAAAAGUGAAAGACGGUCUUGCUGUCACUUAUAGAUGGAUCCGCGCUGCAUUAGCUAGUUGGUAAGGUAACGGCUUACCAAGGCAACGAUGCAUAGCCGACCUGAGAGGGUGAUCGGCCACACUGGAACUGAGACACGGUCCAGACUCCUACGGGAGGCAGCAGUAGGGAAUCUUCCGCAAUGGGCGAAAGCCUGACGGAGCAACGCCGCGUGAGUGAUGAAGGUCUUCGGAUCGUAAAACUCUGUUAUUAGGGAAGAACAUAUGUGAAGUAACUGUGCACAUCUUGACGGUACCUAAUCAGAAAGCCACGGCUAACUACGUG